UUUGUUUUUGUUUUGUUUUCAGAAUUUAUUUUAUUUUUUUUUAAUUUAUUUUGUGGAGACUUCUCUUAAUUUUCUCGCUGGCUCAUGUUUAUCCCUGAUGACUGGGCUUGGCGAAAUAAUUGAUGGGUCUCCACAAUAAUUGUAAUUAGUUUUCAAAGUGUUUAAUAUUUAUUUAUAUCUUAUUUCUGAACGUUAUUAUGCUUUGUGUGAUUUUUGUCUUGUAUUUUAUGUUAAAUUUGCUUUGAUUUGUGUAAUAUUAUAUUUAUACACUGUGUAUUUGCAAUGUGGCCCUCAAGUGGCCAAACUGCAAGCCGCUCUGAGUCCCCUCUGGGGUGAGAAGAGCGGGGUAGAAAUUAGAGAUGUGCGUGACAAUUUUUCCUUUGUUUCCUUCAUGUUGUCAUUUCGUGUCGACUGUUUGUCUACACGGAACAACAGAUGACAGUUUCAUAUGAAAGGUAGGUGACAUGGGCUGUGGGCUGGUUGGAUUUUGCUGCUGUGCUGUCUCUGCUUGGACUGGGCUGGGCUGGGCUUGCCUUGCCUUGCUUGGCUGUGGCUGGCUUGCCAUAUGCCUUCUUGACUCUGGUGAGGGCACUAAGUUGGGACUACUGGGGGAUUUGGGGGUUUUUGGAGAGGGGAUUUGGACUGGCUGGUUGGCAGCUCCCCUGAUCUUCCUUCCUUCUGCUGCAGAAGUUAAGAGGGCUGGGCAAGCUGGGAGGAAAAGGGAAAGCUUUUAUUAUAGGUAAUUUUAUUUCUAAAAAGGAAAAAAAUAGCUAGAAAUUGGGGGAGACACACACAUUUUAAAAGUUGGUGGGCCCUCCAUGUGUGGUGAUUUUCACCCCUCUAGCCUUAAAUCUGAGCGGGGAGUGAGCCCCUGAAUCCCUCCCAUUGCCACCAAUGACACAAAAACUUUUGUGUUUUUCGUUAGCGAGACAAAAAUUUGUGUCAUAUAGGCGGCCGAUUUUCGUUAGUGGGACACGAAUAUGAAAAUGAGAUGACAUGAAUGAAACUACACAAAACAAAUAGAAAUUCCAUACAAAUGCACAACACUACUAUGCAGCACUUUGCACUUCUGGAAAACCAGCCCUGCUGUAUUUACAACUUUCACAUAUGCCUCCCCCCCCCCCACCCCCUCAAUGUCUUCCUUUUACAUUUUCCUCAUCUUGAGCUCUCUACUUUCUUGGCUGUUUGUAGUUAAAGCCCCAUGAUACCACCUGUGUUCUUAGCCCAGGAGGGUUCACAUUGAUUCAAAAUUCUUUUUUAACUUUUAUUUCACCCACCUCUAUUUGAUGACUAUCAAAGCUUUCUUAAAGGGCCAGUAGGCAUCCUGCUGCUACAGACUGAUUAACUGAGCUUCUAUGACAAGAGUGUGGGCAAUUCAUAGCAUCCAAGGAUCGUAUGUCCAGUGGUUUCUGGUACUUUCUAAAUUCAUAGGGUAUAUGUAAAGUAGUGAAUGUGUUUGUAUAUGAUCAUAGGUGUAUCAGCAACGAAGAUGAUUUAUGUUUUUUUUUUAAACCGGUAAAAGAUCCAAUCUUGUGAGCCGUUCAUCCUGAAACGCUGAUAUUCAGUACUUCAAGCAUUUACCAUCAAUGAGUGCUCAGCAGGUAUCAGAUCCAUCAUAACAUGUGCUCCUGAUGAAUACUAAAUUCUAUUCAUCAGGAGAAAGUCAUUUGCAAUUGGCCAUACUCUUUUGGAACCUUAAGAUUAACUAAGAAAUGAAUUCUGUCCGUAGCAAUUUGUGAACUCUUCAAACAGAAAAAGUUAGGCAGAAGAAACAAGAAGAGAAGAAAAGCACUAUUGAAAAGAUGUCAGGGUCAGAUCUAAAUGGAAAACAAAAAAUAACUGAGAUAGGGUGCAGUGGGGAGAUUCAGCAACAAAUGUCUCUUUUGUAAUAUUGGAAAUUCCAUAAUCUAUUGGAAAUAACUACACCCAGUCUCUGGGCACAAAUCCAUUUGGCAAAUGUAAAUCUCCAUGAAUAUGUGGAGACCACCUUUUGAAAACCAAUAGUCAAGAAAGGCAUGUUAGAAGUCAACUUUUUGAACAAGUGAUAUUCACAAGCAUUCAUGUAAUGGCACACAGGCAACUCAGCUGUUAAACUGAAGAACCAUGACUUUGAUUGUCAAGGACAAAGACAUGCCACUACAAAAAUAUAUUUGGUUAGCAGAGGAUGGUUGUUUCUUUGCAGUUGUAAUUGCUCAAAAGAUAUACACUCCCUUGAAACCUCGUAGUUUAAAAUAUGCACUCAGAGAUAAAAAAAACCCAAAGUCUUCUUUGAAAAAUAACAUAUUUUGUUUACUCACAAACAUCUUAUAUUAAUUCACCUUACAGGCACAUUUCUUAUUAAAGUUCAGUUAUAGAUAGGAUGUGGAUUUCUCUGUGUUGAGUACACAGGAUAUCAUUCCUAAUCAAUUGUCCAUAGUCCAAAGUAUAAUUGUACUAACUGCAGUCCGUAAACAUAUUAUAUCCAUAGAAGUCAAAAGCAUACUUCUCUACUGAAGUCCAAACAGCAACUGCUUUCAUUGGAGACCAAACACACACUGAAAACAAAAUGGAGUCUUGAGUCUGAACAUGCUCAGUACAAUCACGUGUCUAUAAUCCUUCCCACACCAAAGAGGUAAAUCAAACUGACAAAUCAAAAUACAGAUAGAAUACAGGUUAGCAAAUAUAUACAUUAACAAAUAAAUAGUGAAAAGUUUGGGAGGUUGCUAUUUCCACCAUGUAAGAAUAAAGCAGGAUGGAUAGAAUCUUGUAUGUGCAGCUGAAUCUCACUUCUGUUAAGAGGUCAUACCCUUCCGCAUUGGUAUAUUGUUACAACCGGUAUUUUGUCAUAAGGUAUUUUAGAUAAGGAAUGUACUGUUUGCAAAUCUCUUUUUUUAAUGUUAGGAGUACCACUAACUAACAUUCCUAGAUUGUUAUAUAUUGUUGCCACCUUAAGUUUAUAGUGAAAUAUUCUAUUCAGACUGUAAUCAAGGCAAAUUUGUAGUCUGGGGAUGUGUUUUUUUUCCUUCCCCAAUCCUUUUGAAAAAUCAUUUUAGACUUGUAAGAUUCCAUGCCAGCAUCUGUUUUGUGGUUUUGUAUUUCUUAUAAAGGAGUCAUUCAGGUGUCUAUCUGAGACAGACAGAACUUGAUGCUCUUAUGAAGUUAAUGGGAUAGAGGUUGAGCUAAUGCUGGUAGAGCAGAAUCCAAAUCUGAAGGAAAAGUAUGAAUGAUGACAGCUAGAUCCACACAUUGAACCUUCGGAAAUGCAACUGGUGGAAAAUCAAAGGACAUUUUUGAGAUGAUGUAGAGACAAAGAGUUUUCUUCAAUGCUUAUUCAGAACCAAGGGAUGUAUUUGAAAUCGAUGAUGGUAUCAAAUAUAAGAAAGAUCAUUUCAUUGAGGUGAAAAAUCAAAAAGCCCAAUGGUGGCACUAUUUUCAAAACAUGCCAAAUGGAGCCUGAUUAGGUGGUCCUACUAUCAUCUAACCACUAGAAGAGUCUUCAAAUGCGACACUUGUUUCUUUGAGGCUGAGAACUAAUUUGACUUUCAGUAAUGAGAGUCCGUGUCAUGCUUCUUGCUCAGGCACAGAAGGCACUAAGAGGAAAUGACAUAUUUCCUACCUACAAAACCAUAUAUGCUCCUGAACAGAGCUCUCCAACAUAUGGUUAAGGUGACUAAUAAUGAACAAAGAACUAGUAGAACUGCAGAGAUUGACAACUAGUAAGAAAAGAUUGCUGAAAAGACUCCAAUGGAACUUAGAGGAAAAGGUUGCAAAUGCUGCUACAGUGGACAAAAAGGAAACUGAGGAUCAGGAAAGAGCAAUGCUUGUGUAUGGAUAUACUAAAGUGGGUAGGCCUCUCACCAAAAAGAUCACACAUUUUUCCAAGAUGAGCACUGCACAGGCACAGUUGACUCAAACAUGUAAAGCAAUGAGACAAAGAAAAACAUAAUUCUUGUUAAGUACUAACUCACGUUUCAUUGUGUGAUUAUCCUUGUUAGCAAUUAAAUUCACUCACAAGGAAAUCAUGGAAUUUCCUUGAAUGCUACGUUCUAUACAGCAAAGUUAUGAAUGAAGAAAAUGUAAGCAAGUUCUCAGUUCAAUAACUACAAAAGCCCCACCACUUCAGCUCUCAAAAUUUCCUCCGUAUAGCCUCCAGGUUCUGAGUAAGUCAGUCUUAUCAGGCUCUUUCUCAGUUGCUCCAUUUCUGAUAACCAAUGACUUUUACUGAGUUGGGGCACUGGGUAAACUAGUUGCAGUAAUAGCUUAAUUAUCUGUGUGUUGGAUUGGGGAUUUGGAUCAAAAUAAUUGUGGUAUCAUGAAAGUUUCUGGACAACCUCGGGCCAAGGCACUUUCUCAUUCUGAUCUAUCUUACAAGAUUAUGUGAUCUGACAAUCGCAGCACAGAGAACCAUGUGCUCAAGCCCUUAAUAUUACUAAAGAAAAGGGCUGGCUUUAGCUUAUAAAGCCCUAAACAGUUCCAGUCCAGCUUAGUUAUCUGAACAUAUCUUCCUCUACGACCCACCUUGGAGGUUAAGAUUGUCGGGGGAGACCUUGCUCUCAGUCCCAUCACCCUUGCAAGCGCGACUGGUGGGGACGAGAGACAGGGCCUUCUCUGUGGUGGCCCUGCAACUCUGGAACUCCCUCCCUAAUGAAACCAGAACAGCCCCCUCCAUCCUGGCUUUUAGGAAAAAACUUAAGACAUGGUUAUGGGACCAAGCAUUUGAGCAAUAAUUAUAGCAGUGAAAUAAUUGAGAACUUUUUAAAGUACAGUGUUCCCUCACCACUUCGCAGUUCACCUUUUGUGGAUUUGCUGUUUUGCGGUUUUUCAAUAAACUCUAAAAUCAUAAAAAUUACAAUUUACAGCCUAAGAAAGGGAGGAAGGAGAAGCCAAAGGGAGAGAAAAGGAGCCCAAGCGGCAACGGGAAGAGGAGGAGGUGAUUUAUCAACACAUGAUUGGUUGAUAAAGACUUAAAAUAGUGUAUAAUUACUAAAAUAAUAUAUAAAUAUUGAGAUAAAUAUAGAGUCCCUACGCGGAUUUUCACUUAUUGCAGGUGGUCCUGGAACCGAACCCCAGUGAUAAGUGAGGGAACACUGUAUUGACUAAUGGACUGAUUCUGGACUACGAUUUUGAAUUUGCGUGAUUUUAAUUGUUGUUUUAAUAUUUUACGUUUUAUUGUUUCAUUUUAAUUGUCAUUGUAUUUUUGGAAUUUCUAUUUCAGACAUCAAAUUGCUGCCAGGUGUGAGGCUGCCCUGAGUGCCCUUCGUGAGAGCACACUGUAGAAGAUGGAAAGAAGUGAUGGAGAUCAGUGGAGGAAGGGAAAAGUUAACAAAAUUGGUAGUGAAGUGAUCCUCUGCCCUUGCCCCUAUGAAGCAAUAGGGAGAAGAAAUAAAAAGAACUGCAAAGAUCUAGAACCUCGAGUGCUGUUUCUUGGUUCAGAAAAAAAAACUAUUUCAAAUGAAGCUGCUACAUCCAUCUAUAUUUCUUUGGCUAGUGAGACAUUGCACAGCACGAAGAUGACUACGGUCUCAAGUCCUAGGACUGUACACAACCCUAACACCAGACAUUAGAGGGUUGUAUCCUGCUAUUUUUUGAACUUAGAAAAAUGUUCAUGUAUUUGUUCAACUUCCUAUGGAUGUGGAAAUCGAUCUUGUUAUGCUCAGGAAAGGGCUUUUUCUGAAGCAAGAAGUCAUUCCUGAUUCCGCAGAGGGAGACAUACACACCCUACUUUCAACCUAAAAUAAUCUGGGAUGUGUAGGGAACCAUGUCAAAGGGACAUUCUGAGUUGUUUGUUUUUUUUAAGAAAUCAGAUAACUUGUGUGCUGGAUAUGAUCUACACUGUCCUUAUUCCUAGCACAGAACUAGGGCUGGUCUUGCAUUAAUCUUCUCUCUCCCCUAAAUGAAAAGCCAUUGUGAUAAUUCUAUAGUAUUUUCAUGGAAAUGUUAUAAAUCACUGGACUCCUGAAUAGUUCCAUAAUGAAAUAGAGGUGAUAGGAUUUAAAAGGCAAGAACAGAAAUAAGAUGACAAUAUAUUCAGAAGACUUAUUUUUUCUACUAAUAAAUUGUUUUAACAACC